UACAGAGGUCCCGAGCGUUGUUCGGAUUUAUUGGGCGUAAAGGGUGCGUAGGCGGCGGAGUAAGUUGGGUGUGAAAUCCCGGGGCUUAACCUCGGAAUUGCAUUCAAUACUGCUUCGCUCGAGUACUGGAGAGGAGGCUGGAAUUUACGGUGUAGCAGUGAAAUGCGUAGAUAUCGGAAGGAACAUCAGUGGCGAAAGCGGCUUCCUGGACCAGUACCGACGUUCAGGCACGAAAGCGUGGGGAGCAAACAGG
rnacentral:rRNA from 1 species